rnacentral:rRNA from 1 species
AACAAGUACAGUGAUGGAAAGAUGAAAAGAACUCCGAAAGGAGAGUGAAAAAGGACGUGAAAUUGUUGAAAGGGAAGUGCUUGAGAUCAGUCUUAGGAUUCAGUGAUCAAUCUUCCUUUUGGUUGGUGCACUCACUGUUUUCUAGGCCAACAUCAGUUUUCGCGGCAGGAUAAUGUCCCAGGAAUGUGGCUCCCUCGGGAGUGUUAUAGCCUGGGUUGAUACUGCCAGCUUAGACUGAGGUCUGCGCUUUUUGCUAGGAUGUUGGCAUAAUGAUCUUAAUCAGCCCGUCUUGAAACACGGACCAAGGAGUCUAACAACUAUGCAAGUGUUUGGGUGUAAAACCCGUACGCGUAAUGAAAGUGAACGUAGAUGGGAACCUUUUGGUGCACCAUCGACCGAUCCUGAUGUCUUCGGAUGGAUUUGAGUAAGAGCAUAGCUGUUGGGACCCGAAAGAUGGUGAACUAUGCCUGAAUAGGGUGAAGCCAGAGGAAACUCUGGUGGAGGCUCGUAGCGAUUCUGACGUGCAAAUCGAUCGUCAAAUUUGGGUAUAGGGGCGAAAGACUAAUCGAACCAUCGGCGAAAAGCUACUAGGUGGUUAAGAGGGCCAUGAGUUGUGGUUCUAGUCCGAGGAAGUCGGGCAAGACUGUCAAAUUGCUGGAACACCCUAAAGACAAACGGUACUAAGCUGGACUGGAAACGGUUCGGUGGAGCAGUAACUACUGCCGAGUGAAAAUCUGUUUGUAUGUAACAAUGGGCAAUCAGCAGCAAGUCCUAAACCACAAGUGGCAUGGAUGCAGUUCAGAG